rnacentral:rRNA from 1 species
GACGAACGCUGGCGGCGUGCUUAACACAUGCAAGUCGAACGGAAAGGCCCUGCUUUUGUGGGGUGCUCGUGUGGCGAACGGGUGAGUAACACGUGAGUAACCUGCCCUUGUCUUUGGGAUAACUUCAGGAAACUGGGGCUAAUACCGGAUAGGAUCUCCUGCUGCAUGGUGGGGGUUGGAAAGUUUCGGCGGUUGGGGAUGGACUGGCGGCUUAUCAGCUUGUUGGUGGGGUAGUGGCUUACCAAGGUUGUGACGGGUAGCCGGCCUGAGAGGGUGACCGGCCACAUUGGGACUGAGAUACGGCCCAGACUCGUACGGGAGGCAGCAGUGGGGAAUAUUGCACAAUGGGCGGAAGCCUGAUGCAGCAACGCCGCGUGCGGGAUGCCGGGCUUCGGGUUGUAAACCGCUUUCGCAUGUGACGAAGCGUGAGUGACGGUAAUGGGUAAAGAAGCACCGGCUAACUACGUG